CGAGCAAUCUGCCCUUCUCUUCGGAAUAAGCGUUGGAAACGACGUCUAAUGCCGAAUACGACCUCCUUUCGCAUGAUCGGAGGUGGAAAGCUCCGGCGGAGAAGGAUGAGCUCGCGGCCUAUCAGCUAGUUGGUGUGGGUAAUGGCCCACCAAGGCGACGACGGGUAGCCGGCCUGAGAGGGUGGCCGGCCACACUGGGACUGAGACACGGCCCAGACUCCUACGGGAGGNAG
rnacentral:rRNA from 1 species